GAGCCCAGCUGGGGUGGUAAAUAGAGUACAGUACAAAAGCGGAAGGGACAGGCCUAGAGGCUGAAAGAAAAGCCCGAUAAUGGGGAAACAGUGUUUUUUCCUUCAAUUAAUGAUUAAUUUCUCAGCUGGUGGGGCCAGCAGUCUCUGACUGUCACGUGACAGCUAUGCGCCCCAUGACGCCUCUCCAGGGAGGCAGAGUGGGUGGCACUGAGGUGGAGCUCACCUUCCUGAAAUUCAGCCCCCUCAGUUUGGAGGGGAGGUGGAGGAAGGAGGUGAAUGGUUUCCUGUCCAGCCAGAAAUUUGCGGAGGGCCUUCCCAAGGCCAAGCAAUGCUGCCUGCGACUCUGUCCCUGACAGCGUUGGACGCACCGUAUCUCUUCUGAUAUUAAGUCUGGAAGUGAUUUACUAUCCGAGUCCUCCCACAGUUCGAGCCUUUUGAUGUACUUUGUGUGCAUGUGUUUCUGUCACAUACGUGCCACAGUGGAACAGAUUUUGUUUUGACACUAUUUUGGUUCAUGAUGUUAUACUUUGACUAUUUUACAAUAAUAGCCAAUGUAAACAAACAUCUUUGGGAUUCUCAAAUUAUUACUUAUGAUUCUUGGACAUUGCAGCUCUUCGAUACUGACGCAUUCCUAGCUUUUUCCAAGGACACCGUAUGUUAACAUCCGUGCCAGCCUCAUUAUCCCCACAGCCAGGCUCUGGGCUGGGCGGUAAUGAGCAUUGUGCGGUUUCACUUUACACUUUGCAAAGUUGAUUAAGGCAGUGCCUUCUCCCAUGAUCAUUUUUGUACCCUGAUGUAGUAAAAUGGCUAAAUAUGGUGAAAGUU